GACGAACGCUGGCGGCGUGCUUAACACAUGCAAGUCGAACGGAAAGGCCCUGCUUUUGUGGGGUGCUCGAGUGGCGAACGGGUGAGUAACACGUGAGUAACCUGCCCUUGCCUUUGGGAUAACUUCAGGAAACUGGGGCUAAUACCGGAUAGGAGCUCCUGCUGCAUGGUGGGGGUUGGUAAGUUUCGGCGGUUGGGGAUGGACUCGCGGCUUAUCAGCUUGUUGGUGGGGUUGUGGCUUACCUAGGCUUUGACGGGUAGCCGGCCUGAGCGGGUGACCGGCCACGUUGGGACUGAGAUACGGCCCAGACUCCUACGGGAGGCAGCAGUGGGGAAUAUUGCACAAUGGGCGGAAGCCUGAUGCAGCAACGCCGCGUGCGGGAUGACGGCCUUCGGGUUGUAAACCGCUUUCGCCUGUGACGAAGCGUGAGUGACGGUAAUGGGUAAAGAAGCACCGGCUAACUACGUG
rnacentral:rRNA from 1 species